AGUGAACGCUGGCGGUAGGCCUAACACAUGCAAGUCGAACGGCAGCACAGUAAGAGCUUGCUCUUACGGGUGGCGAGUGGCGGACGGGUGAGGAAUACAUCGGAAUCUACUUUUUCGUGGGGGAUAACGUAGGGAAACCUAAGCUAAUACCGCAUACGACCUACGGGUGAAAGCAGGGGAUCUUCGGACCUUGCGCGAUUGAAUGAGCCGAUGUCGGAUUAGCUAGUUGGCGGGGUAAAGGCCCACCAAGGCGACGAUCCGUAGCUGGUCUGAGAGACUGGUCAGCGGCACUGGAGGUGAGACACGGUCCAGACUCCUACGGGAGGCAGCAGACGGGAAUAUUGGGCAAUGGGGGCAAGCCUGAUACAGCCAUACCGCGUGGGUGGAGAAGGCCUUCGGGGUGUAAAGCCCGUUUGUUGGUAAAGAAAAGCAGCAGGUUAAUACCACGCUGUUCUGACGGUACCCAAAGAAUAAGCACCGGCUAACUUCGUG
rnacentral:rRNA from 1 species